rnacentral:rRNA from 1 species
AGCAGCCGCGGUAAUUCCAGCCCCAAUAGCGUAUAUUAAAGUUGUUGCAGUUAAAAAGCUCAUAGUUGAAUUUCGGGAUCAAUUAAUUGGUCGUGCCUCUGGUACGUACUGAUUUUAUUGGUUUCUCCCUUCUGACGAACCAUGAUGUCAUUAAUUUGAUGUCGUGGAGAAUCAGGACUGUUACUUUAGAAAAAAAUUAGAGUGUUUAAAGCAAGCUAACGCUUGAAUACAUUAGCAUGGAAUAAUGAAAUAGGACGUUUGAUCCUAUUUUGUUGGUUUCUAGGAUCGACGUAAUGAUUAAUAGGGAUAGUUGGGGGCAUUAGUAUUCAAUUGUCAGAGGUGAAAUUCUUGGAUUUAUUGAAGACUAACUACUGCGAAAGCAUUUGCCAAGGAUGCUUUCAUUAAUCAAGAACGAAAGUUAGGGGAUCGAAGACGAUCAGAUACCGUCGUAGUCUUAACCAUAAACUAUGCCGACUAGGGAUCGGAUGAUGUAAUUUUUAAUGA